AAGUUAACUUUGGUAAUUUGAAAUUACCUAGAAAAACUAAUUAGUUUUUUAACUUU
rnacentral:tRNA from 1 species